GACGAACGCUGGCGGCGUGCCUAAUACAUGCAAGUUGAGCGCUGAAGGUUGGUACUUGUACCAACUGGAUGAGCAGCGCACGGGUGAGUAACGCGUGGGGAAUCUGCCUUUGAGCGGGGGACAACAUUUGGAAACGAAUGCUAAUACCGCAUAAAAACUUUAAACACAAGUUUUAAGUUUGAAAGAUGCAAUUGCAUCACUCAAAGAUGAUCCCGCGUUGUAUUAGCUAGUUGGUGAGGUAAAGGCUCACCAAGGCGAUGAUACAUAGCCGACCUGAGAGGGUGAUCGGCCAAAUUGGGACUGAGACACGGCCCAAACUCCUACGGGAGGCAGCAGUAGGGAAUCUUCGGAAAUGGACGAAAGUCUGACCGAGCAACGCCGCGUGAGUGAAGAAGGUUUUCGGAUCGUAAAACUCUGUUGGUAGAGAAGAACGUUGGUGAGAGUGGAAAGCUCAUCAAGUGACGGUAACUACACAGAAAGGGACGGCUAACUACGUG
rnacentral:rRNA from 1 species